CAACUCCAGCCAGUUCACCUGUGGUGUGCUCUGCCGCUGGAGUGAGGAGUGUGGCCGCGCUGCCGGCAGGGCCUGCGGCUUUGCUCAGCCAGGCUGCAGCUGCCCUGGAGAGGCGGGGGCUGGCUCCGCCACCACCACAUCUCCAGGCCCUCCUGCUGCCCACACCCUGUCCAAUGCCCUGGUGCCCGGGGGCCCAGCCCCACCUGCUGAGGCCGAUUUGCACUCGGGGAGCAGCAAUGAUCUAUUCACAACCGAGAUGAGAUAUGGUGAGGAGCCGGAAGAGGAACCGAAAGUGAAAACCCAGUGGCCGAGGUCUGCAGAUGAGCCUGGGCUAUACAUGGCACAGACAGUGCACGGCGUGUGGGAGGAGUGGGGGUCCUGGAGCCUGUGCUCCCGCAGCUGCGGGCGGGGGUCCCGGAGCCGGAUGCGGACCUGCGUGCCCCCCCAGCAUGGCGGCAAGGCCUGCGAGGGUCCUGAGCUGCAGACUAAGCUCUGCAGUAUGGCUGCCUGCCCGGUGGAAGGCCAGUGGCUAGAAUGGGGUCCCUGGGGCCCAUGCUCCACGUCCUGUGCCAAUGGGACCCAGCAGCGCAGCCGGAAGUGCAGCGUGGCGGGCCCAGCCUGGGCCACAUGCACGGGUGCCCUCACUGACACCCGGGAGUGCAGCAACCUCGAGUGCCCGGCCACUGAUAGCAAGUGGGGGCCGUGGAAUGCAUGGAGCCUGUGCUCUAAGACGUGUGACACAGGCUGGCAGCGCCGCUUCCGCAUGUGCCAGGCCACGGGCACGCAGGGCUACCCCUGUGAGGGCACCGGAGAGGAGGUGAAGCCUUGUAGUGAGAAGAGGUGUCCAGGUACUGCCCUAAUGACCCUGGGGGCUGGGGGCCCCAUGUAUGGGCCCAGCUGAGCCUUACCCCUGCACCCACAGCCUUCCAUGAGAUGUGCAGGGAUGAGUACGUGAUGCUGAUGACGUGGAAGAAGGCAGCUGCUGGCGAGAUCAUCUACAACAAGUGCCCCCCGAAUGCCUCAGGUGUCCCCUGGCUCUGUGCACCUGCUCCGUGUCGUGGAGGACUUCAUUCACCUGGUGGGCGAUGCUCUCAAGGCCUUCCAGAGCUCUCUGAUUGUCACAGAUAAUCUAGUGAUCAGCAUUCAGCGAGAGCCCGUCUCAGCUGUGUCCAGUGACAUCACGUUCCCCAUGCGGGGCCGCCGGGGCAUGAAGGACUGGGUGCGGCACUCAGAGGACCGCCUCUUCCUGCCCAA
rnacentral:sRNA from 1 species